CCCCGACCCCCCCGGUGUCCGUAAUUCACUUUCGGGGGGCUCCUGCGAGGUGUUGGGGGGCUGUGCUGUGCUCCCAGGCUUGGGUGAUGGAGGCAAAGCGCUGCCGGCAGCCACGCGGUGGGACCUGGCUGGGAGGGGUCGCAGCGGUGUAACGCGUACAUCACGGUGUGGAGCUGGGGGCGCUGCCUCUGGGGUCAAAUGUCGGCCUGGUCUUCCGCCUCAUCCCCAGCCCAGCCUGAAAAUGUCCCUGAAAAUGUCCUAUGGGCAGUCCAGGUGCUGGGGGCACCUGGAGUGUGUUUGUGGCCUCAGCUCCAGGUGAGAUGUGCCAUUAACAGCUGCCCAGUGUGUCCUGUCCAGGAUUCCUCUGGCAGAGCAAAAAUCCUUCUGGCCAUCCAGGAAAUGUUACAAAAAUUCUGUGGGGCUGCUCUUGUCCAUCACCUGGUGAUCAGCAGCACAGGAAUCACAAGGAGAGUUCAUUCCUGCCUUUUCCUUCCCACUUUGGAGCAGCUCUCCCUGCCUCAACUGGGGAUUUGCUCCCAUUUAAUUACCCUAAAAAAAAAUAAAGUUUGGUGUAGAUAUUGUAGAGACCUUAGCAGAAAUUGCCAACCCUUUUUAUGAGGUGCUUGGUGCAAAAUGCUCCAAGGGCUUUGGGCUAGGCUGUUGUUUUAUUGCUAGUAAAAGGAUGAGUUUUAGCCCAAGCAGACACAUUAAAUGUCAGCACAGUUGCUGUCUCCUCUUUAUUUUUAAAUGUCUUGCUCAUGUGAAUUUUGGGGGUGUUUCCCUUUUUCACCUUUUGGCUCCUCAUUUCUAUUUUCCUUUCGCCUUAAACUCCAGAUCUUUUUUAUUUUCCCCCCCUUCCAAGAUCAAUCUGUCUGUGCAUUUUUAAUGAAUCAUUUGCUGUGACAUAUGAGCACCGAAGCCACAGUGUCAGGGACUUCAGCAUCUGUGGAGAGCAGGAGGAGAUGAAAUGGAUGUGAACUUAGCUUCAGUCUUUUGUUCAUGUGGGAUGGGACUUUGCCUAGAGGCAGCACAAAUAUAACUUUUCCUUCCAGGGAAUAAUGAGCAGAGUUAAAACCCAGCAAUGGCUCAUUUUUCUCUCUGGAGCACUGCUAGGAAUUGAGGAUUUCAGCUGUGCCUUUUCUUAGCAGUGAAUCAACACAAAACCCAACGUGGUGGGAAAGGAGUUUUUUGUGCAGAACUCAUUGACAACACCUAGAGAAGCAUUUCUGAAUGGAAAAUGGGAACCAUGGGAGUUCAGACAUCAGGAGUGACACCAACAGAGAGAAUCCUUGUCGUUAUCUCUUUCAUCUUGCCUUGUGGUCUAAGUCAUUCCCCCUUUGAAACUCUGCAGGAAGAGAAGACCCCAUUCAGGCCCUGUCCUUAUAUAACCAAACCAGAAAAAAAGGACCAAAAUGGCAAGAAAUUAAUCUCUCCCAGGGCUGCCCUCUUUACCAGCCAGCCUCACUUUCCUUUGGGAAGCACUGCUGGAUGACAGCCUAAAUUAUUUCAUUUCAGAAGAGGUAAAUAACUCUGAUAAAUGAUAAAUAAAAUAAAUCUAAAUAAAAUUUUAUCUAAUAAAAUAAAUGAAGUAUUUUUGCUUCCAUGUGUAUGACUUAUGUGAAA